rnacentral:rRNA from 1 species
GACAGCAGUCGCCGCGGUAAUACGAAGGGUGCAAGCGUUAAUCGGAAUUACUGGGCGUAAAGCGUGCGUAGGCGGUGAGUUAAGUCUGCUGUGAAAUCCCCGGGCUCAACCUGGGAAUGGCAGUGGAUACUGGCUCGCUAGAGUGUGUCAGAGGAUGGUGGAAUUCCCGGUGUAGCGGUGAAAUGCGUAGAGAUCGGGAGGAACAUCAGUGGCGAAGGCGGCCAUCUGGGACAACACUGACGCUGAGGCACGAAAGCGUGGGGAGCAAACAGGAUUAGAUACCCCAGUAGUCCCUGUCUCUUAUAC